UACGAAGGGGGCUAGCGUUGCUCGGAAUCACUGGGCGUAAAGGGUGCGUAGGCGGGUCUUUUAAGUCAGGGGUGAAAUCCUGGAGCUCAACUCCAGAACUGCCUUUGAUACUGAGGUCUUGAGUUCGGGAGAGGUGAGUGGAACUGCGAGUGUAGAGGUGAAAUUCGUAGAUAUUCGCAAGAACACCAGUGGCGAAGGCGGCUCACUGGCCCGAUACUGACGCUGAGGCACGAAAGCGUGGGGAGCAAACAGGG
rnacentral:rRNA from 1 species